rnacentral:rRNA from 1 species
AACGUAGGAGACAAACGUUAUCCGGAGUUACUGGGCGUAAAGGGCGUGUAGGCGGUCUGUUAAGUCUGGCGUGAAAGCUCUCGGCUAAACCGGGAGAGGUCGUUGGAUACUGGCAGACUAGAGGACGGUAGAGGCGUGUGGAAUUCCGGGUGUAGUGGUGAAAUGCGUAGAUAUAGGAAGGAACACCAGUGGCGAAGGCGACCACCUGGACUGAUACUGACACUGAGGUGCGAAAGCGUGGGGAGCAAACAGG